AUGGCGAGUUCAAAACCGAAGUUGAGGAGCUAUGAAAGCACUGAGAAGUUUAGCGCCAUUUCCACUGACGACAACGUGAUGAAGGCAACUGCAGCAUCACAACACAGAGAGGUUUUUGUACCAGCAGUAAUAGGGAUUGUAUCACUGUGGUGGACUUUUGGUAGCGGCACCAGGCUUGAUGUUGGAAGUAACAGUGUCCCCACCCUCACCGUCCUGGCCCCCUCUAGUGAGGAGCUGUCCAGUACAACAACAGUCACACUGACGUGUCUGGCCAACAAGGGCUUCCCCUCAGACUGGACCAUAAGCUGGAAAGUGGACGGGACCAGCAAGAAGCAGGAGGCCAGUCCCGCAGUCCUGGAGAAAGACGGCCUGUAUAGCUGGAGCAGCACCCUGACUAUCACUGCCCAGGAGUGGACCAAUGCAGGAGAGGUGACCUGUGACGCCCAGCAGAAAUCCCAGACUCCAGUCACCAAGACCCUGAGGAGGGCUGACUGUUCUGGGUAGGACCCCUCAGUCACACACCCCUGUGGAGAGAGGCUGUUGGUUCCUCUUCUUUGGCUCUGUUCUGAGAUCAGAUGUUCUCUGUCUUAUUGAUCACUGACAUGUAGACUAACAGGGGGCUUUGCUUGAGUUCAUGUGUCAAUCCUCUCUGUAGACUGAGGUUUUAUCAGUGUUAGAUUUGAUGUGCUCUGUUUUUUUAUAUAUUAGAUACUGUAGGAAUGUUUGCUUUGAUGCUUUGAUUAAUAGAUGAAAAUAAACAUUUUCCUUUGGAACAAA